rnacentral:lncRNA from 1 species
UUUUUAUUAUUAUUUAUUUUUUUUAUUUUUUUAUUUACAGUUCUGCCAGUAGUGUAGCAUCAGACGUGGUGCGCUCCACCUGAACGAUUCUUCUUUAUUGGAAGCUUUAACAUACAGUUGAGGAAUGGUCUUACACGCACUGGCAAACACACACACACACCCUACACACACACACACACACACACACACACACACACCUCCCAGCAUGCCGUUCUCCCGCAGUAGGAGGCAGGUUUAAGUUAUGCUCGGUUAGCCGUGACGCUGGACGGUCAUGCAAGGACGCUCCUCCAGGUCUCUCACAUUAGGGUGCACCACCUUCCAAAAAUCGAUACGGCCUCGGCUGGGCUCUCCGGGGAGCGGUGUGGGAGUGUGUUACCGCAGCCGCUGGCCGUCAGCUGCCUCGUGGAGCAUGGGAACGAGUCGGGAGUGAAGAGAUCAGGUGUUAGCGUGCUACGCUGGAGGGGCUCAGUGUGCUGACACAAUACCUGCUCCAUCCUUCCAAACGAGAAAUUAAAGAGCAGUGUCAGGUGUAAUUAACUUCUUCUAGUGGUGAAGGAUGAAAAACCAGCAGAAGAGCCCAAAACUAAAGAAGAAGAAGAGAAGAAGCAAGAACAGAAGAUGGAAGAGAAGAUGGGAGGGUUAGAUAAUGCUGCUGCGGACAGCGGAAAGGAGACGACUCCGGAUGAUCCUGCUGAAACACCGGCAGGGCCGGGGGAAGACCAACCAAAGGGCACAGAGAACAAUGAAAAUGACAGCCAAGGAGAUGCAGUGGCCAUGGACAUGGAAGGUGAAGAUGGGGACCAAAGUGCAACUGCACCGGACAAUAAAAAUGAAGAGUGCAAACCUACAGAUGGUCCAGAGGAUAAACCUGAGCUGAAGAAGGACUAAGAUGACAAUCAGCCUCGUAGGAACCGCACCGGCAAACUGUGUGAAGGCGAAGAUCACACCACUCGAGUUUCCCACACAGCGGAGUCUACCCGAAACCACAGAGAGGAAGAUUCCCAUCUGUCCCCCGUCCCUCCUUCCUUACUCUUCUCUUUUAUUUCAAUUCCUGCUUUUGCUUUUCUUUACUUUUGGAUCGGGCUGAUGUUUAAGCAAACAUACUAUAUAUAUAAACAGAGAAUUCAGACACAUAUGUCUACAUAUCAUAGAGAGUUUAAUGGGUUUAUUGGGUUUAAUGGUGUUAAUGGAGUGAAUGGAGUUCAGGACGGAGGCAAUAUGUGUUACCUCACUGAAUCGCUGCUCUCAGUCAUUUCCGAUCUUCUGGGCAUUCUGGUGCUGGAUUUAUUUAAGGUUAUAAGGGCCCUUAAUUAAUAUACUACAUAAUAUAACAGUGUGUUCCUCAAUGAUUGACGCUUUGGGUAUGAGUAUAGAACAUAGCAGCUGCAUUUUGGUGAUGAUAAAAUACGAUAUUUUGAUUUUGGAUGAUUUUAUUUGUGUUUUUUAGGCAAAUAACACUAGUGGGACACACGUCAGGAGCAUCUUCAUAUUUACAUCUGAGUAAUUUUGUGUGUGUGUGUGUGUGGGGGGGGGGGUUGUGUGUGAGGAUAACAAAUGUGAAUGAGAACUAAUGAUAAAAGAAAAGCAACUUUAAGAACUUUAUGGAGUGAUUACAGUGAUAAAAAGCGCACUUUAGUUCAGUCGUUGGCUUUAUUUACACCUGGUGUUACAGUUGUGCAUGUGUUUCUUGUUGUUAGCUGAAUGCGUACGUAAAGUUGGAGUUUUUAAACCAGGUGAAAAUUUGGCCUAAAUGCUAAACGUUUUUAUUUGCGAGAGAGACGCCAAACCAAGUGAAUCAGAGUGAAUCAGCUGAGUGUGAUUAAAGCUCUUAUGAUGAACUGUUUUAGUCAAAAACUCCAGAUUUUAGUCUAAAAAUCUCCAGUGACCCGGUCCUAACUCAGUUUCAACCAGUAAAACUCUUAUUUCACACAUUAGCUAUUAUUGACUAGUCACAUGACCAGGACAACACAUCCCUAAUGUAUUUCUGAUGUAUUUCUUUUUUUUUCUUUUUUUUACCAUUAAUUAACAUGAAAUUUCAUUUUGCACACUCUUCACAAUAUAUAACUUUUUUUAUUAGUAAAAACUUCAGUUACAUAUAUACAUAAUAGCUUUAAUUACUUUAUUGCUUAUAAACAUAUCUCUACUCUAAUUCUCACAAGUAAAAACAUCAAUAAAUACAUUAUUACACAAUAAAAUAAAACA